AGAGGUAGUAGUUUGUGUAGUU
rnacentral:miRNA from 1 species